GACGAACGCUGGCGGCGUGCUUAACACAUGCAAGUCGAACGAUGAACAGGGAGCUUGCUCCUUGGGAUUAGUGGCGAACGGGUGAGUAACACGUGAGCAAUCUGCCCCCGACUCUGGGAUAAGCGCUGGAAACGGCGUCUAAUACCGGAUACGACAACCGAUGGCAUCUUCUGGUUGUGGAAAGAAUUUCGGUUGGGGAUGAGCUCGCGGCCUAUCAGCUAGUUGGUGAGGUAACGGCUCACCAAGGCGACGACGGGUAGCCGGCCUGAGAGGGUGACCGGCCACACUGGGACUGAGACACGGCCCAGACUCCUACGGGAGGCAGCAGUGGGGAAUAUUGGACAAUGGGCGAAAGCCUGAUCCAGCAACGCCGCGUGAGGGAUGACGGCCUUCGGGUUGUAAACCUCUUUCAGCAGGGACGAAGCGAAAGUGACGGUACCUGCAGAAGAAGCGCCGGCCAACUACGUGCCAGCAGCCGC
rnacentral:rRNA from 1 species